GCAGGUUGUCGCUGGAGCAGAACAGGGCCAGGCCGUUGGGGGCCGUCUCGUCGCGGCGGAUGCGGCCGACGUACGUCGGGUCCUGUCCGGCGGCCUGCA
rnacentral:tRNA from 1 species